rnacentral:rRNA from 1 species
AUGAAGAAGUAUAAAGACCACCUCGCCUUGCUGUAUAAGGCGCACGAGAAGCUCAAGGACGAACUCAAUGCAGUGCUGAACCACCCACUAAUGCCAUCAGAAUUUGAACGAGCAUGGAAGAACCUCAUUCAGAGGUACAACUUGCAAGACAACAAAGUGAUGAAUUCGCUCUGGGAUGACAGGCACGAGUGGAUCUCGGCUUACUACAAGGAAAUUUUCUGUGCUCGGAUGACUUCCACACAGAGAAGCGAGAGCAUGAACCGCAUACUGAAGAAAAUUUUUGUCAGGGAGAAGCAUAAUCUCCAUCUGUUUGCUCAGCAGGUGGAUAAGUGCAUUCAGACCAGGAAGGUCGUCGAGCACGCAGAGAAAGUAGCAAAUGAGUCAGAGGUAAAAACAACAACAAAGUUUGGGUUCGAAGUUCAGCUAUCAAAAGUGUAUACAAGGGCAGUGUUUGCAAAUUUCAAAGAAACACUCUACCAUAGCACUGCAUUCAGAGCAGAACGGUGCCCUGAGAACCCGACAAAGUAUCUCGUACACCACUACAAUAGAUCGGAUGCAUUUGACUGGGCAAGGCAUAAUUUCCAAGUGGUCGCUGAUGAAGAGAAAGGUGUCUACGGAUGUGAGUGCAAACUCUGGACACACACAGGCCUCUUUUGCGUCCAUGUGUUAUGCAUGCUUUCUCAUUUGAGAGUACUCAACAUUCCUGAGGUGUACAUCAUGAAAAGAUACACCCGUAACGCAAGAUCAGAUGCAACAUUUGACAGAAGAGACUACGAACAAACAGCACCAGAUGGAUCCUCGCUUUUUUGCCAUAGAAAAUUGCCGACAGAAACAACAAUGGACCUUGCAAACAGUGCGACAAUGUCCAAU